rnacentral:rRNA from 1 species
AACGAACGCUGGCGGCAGGCCUAACACAUGCAAGUCGAACGCCGUAGCAAUACGGAGUGGCAGACGGGUGAGUAACACGUGGGAACGUACCUUUCGGUUCGGAAUAACUCAGGGAAACUUGAGCUAAUACCGGAUACGUGCGAGAGCAGAAAGAUUUAUCGCCGAAAGAUCGGCCCGCGUCCGAUUAGCUUGUUGGUGAGGUAACGGCUCACCAAGGCGACGAUCGGUAGCUGGUCUGAGAGGAUGAUCAGCCACACUGGGACUGAGACACGGCCCAGACUCCUACGGGAGGCAGCAGUGGGGAAUAUUGGACAAUGGGCGCAAGCCUGAUCCAGCCAUGCCGCGUGAGUGAUGACGGCCUUAGGGUUGUAAAGCUCUUUCGCCAGGGACGAUAAUGACGGUACCUGGAUAAGAAGCCCCGGCUAACUUCGUGCCAGCAGCCGCGGU